rnacentral:rRNA from 1 species
CAGUCGCCGCGGUAAUACGAAGGGUGCAAGCGUUAAUCGGAAUUACUGGGCGUAAAGCGUGCGUAGGCGGUGAGUUAAGUCUGCUGUGAAAUCCCCGGGCUCAACCUGGGAAUGGCAGUGGAUACUGGCUCGCUAGAGUGUGUCAGAGGAUGGUGGAAUUCCCGGUGUAGCGGUGAAAUGCGUAGAGAUCGGGAGGAACAUCAGUGGCGAAGGCGGCCAUCUGGGACAACACUGACGCUGAGGCACGAAAGCGUGGGGAGCAAACAGGAUUAGAUACCCGAGUAGUCCCUGUCUCUUAUAC